CUCCUACGGGAGGCAGCAGUAGGGAAUCUUCCGCAAUGGACGAAAGUCUGACGGAGCAACGCCGCGUGAGUGAUGAAGGCUUUCGGGUCGUAAAACUCUGUUGUUAGGGAAGAACAAGUGCUAGUUGAAUAAGCUGGCACCUUGACGGUACCUAACCAGAAAGCCACGGCUAACUACGUGCCAGCAGCCGCGGUAAUACGUAGGUGGCAAGCGUUAUCCGGAAUUAUUGGGCGUAAAGCGCGCGCAGGUGGUUUCUUAAGUCUGAUGUGAAAGCCCACGGCUCAACCGUGGAGGGUCAUUGGAAACUGGGAGACUUGAGUGCAGAAGAGGAAAGUGGAAUUCCAUGUGUAGCGGUGAAAUGCGUAGAGAUAUGGAGGAACACCAGUGGCGAAGGCGACUUUCUGGUCUGUAACUGACACUGAGGCGCGAAAGCGUGGGGAGCAAACAGGAUUAGAUACCCUGGUAGUCCACGCCGUAAACGAUGAGUGCUAAGUGUUAGAGGGUUUCCGCCCUUUAGUGCUGAAGUUAACGC
rnacentral:rRNA from 1 species